GGCGCGAGCAGCUCAGCCAGCCUUGCAGAGGGAGCUCUCGGCAGCUCUGGGGUCCCUCUACUCGCAGCCGCAGCAGCGCCGCCUGCGCCACUCGGCGGAGACGGAGACCAGCGGCGGCGACGCGCGGACUGGGAGCGACCGCGGAGCAGCCGGGCGGCGGGGGACGCUCGCAAGGCCGCAGGGAAAUGGUGAUGUGUCCUACUUCAUGAAAUUGGCCCCAAAGACCAAGGAACGGAAAGCCAAACCAACAGGAUAGGCUGUUUCAUGCUGGACAGAAACAAGCUUUGAAUACAUGAGGAAGGAGAGUGGGAGACUGGAGGCAAGUUUCUUCCAGGGAGACCCCCAACGAUGGUGGCCAAGGCAUGGCUGUGGCCUUGAUGGACCUGAUUGAUGGGGUGCUUCUCAGUGUGUCACAGAACUUGGAGGCCCACUUCCUUCUGUCCCCUCAAGAGGCUGGCACAGGCUCCACAGGACAGCUGGGGACAGGCUUUCCCUGCUCUGGUGCAUCUGACUCCCGAUGGUGUCAUCAACCUCCCAUCACUGGACGCAGCAGGCUCUCCACCGUCCAGAGUCGCGGGAGUGAGUGCCUCUCCAGACCUGUGUGACAGCAGGGUGGGAGACGGGAGGUGUGCUGGGAGCAGCGUUGCCCUGUGGGAAGACCUAUGUGAGGCUAUGUGUGUUCGGGGAGGGCAGGGUGUACAGGAGGGAGGACAAGGGCUCUCCCUGCCCCCCACCACCUCACAGACAUGGGCCUGAGCCAGGGCAUAGGAGGCCAUCCAGCCUGACUUCAAGUCAUUGAUGGAGAGGGGUUGAGUGGCUGCUCUGGGGUUGGUUCACACUGCUCUGAGCUGGGUAGGGUUAGUGGGGCAAAGGCCCGAGGCUCUUUUUGUCUUGGCCUUGAUAGUCCUUCGGCCGUACCUCACAGUGCCCUAAUUCUAGCUCCUGCCCACUCUGACCUUCAUAUCCACCCUCACCUAGAGCUGAAUACGAGGCUCGGGAUUCAGGACUCUCCUUGUAGAGGACAGAGUUAGGUACCUUAUCCCUUCCCAGAAUUGGAAUGCAGAGACGUAGAGCCACUCAGAUCUCCAAUGACAGUCCCAGUUGACCCCUGGCUGGGAUAUUUUCCCAUCCUACAUUUCUUGCCCAGGCCCUGUCUCCUCCUGUGGGUUAAGCCAUGAGCUUGUGCUAGUCCAGCCACCCCCGCCUGCACUUUCGCAGGACCUGGUCAGCCAGUGUUCACUUCCUCUUUCCCCGCCACACAGGCCACGCUUUGGAUGUCAGUGGACAGUCCUGCCCUACUAGGGGACCUCAGGCCUGAGGGGCUCCUAGGGGUGGUCCUGGGACUGCAACCCUGCUGCAGGGGCCCCUGCGGCAGGCCCAGGCUGUGGCCAGCUUUGGGUGCUGCCUUGGUCUCUAUCGUUUGUUUGCCUUCCCCUCCCCUACCACUCCAGCCGACCACCCCAAAACUGAGCUACACUAUCCCUCCCAUGCCACCCGUCACAGUCACAGAGGGAGCACCGUGCUGCGCCGAUGUGUUGGGGGCUGUCAGCCUGCCCCCACCCAACUGGAAUGAGCCCCUUGCAUCCACACACAGGUGUUUCCUGUGCUCCUUCCUGUUACCGUUUUUUUUUUCUGCUCAGCUUGGCUUCCCCAGCAGGUGGUUAAGGGCCCAGCCACACCUCUUCAUACACAGCUCUAAAACACAGGGGGGUAGGGCUCUCUGGGGAUCUGGGUCACCCCCCAGGGGGGACUGUUGGCAGCUCACUGGCUCUACCUGAGUGCAGGGACACAGACUCCCCCCAGGGUGUCACGCUGCUGUGCUACAGCCACAGGUACUGGGACGCCAGAGUGGGCUCAGGGAGUGGGGAAGGCCCUGCCCUUGCACUGUCUCCACUGAAAACUCUGGAGGGAGAGGGGAAGGGUGGCAGACCUUUCUCCAGGUCUGUCUGAGACCAGCCUUGGUCUCCAGUCCAAGGCUGUUUCUCCAGCCUUGAGUGUGGGCCUCCCCCAGGCCCUCCUUAGAACAGGCCUGCCAUGCUGAAGUCCCCCCACCCUCAGGCUCCUCCCAUUGAACACUUAACUUUCUGGGGUUAAU